rnacentral:misc_RNA from 1 species
GAUGAAGAACGUAGUGAAAUGCGAUAAGUAAUGUGAAUUGCAGAAUUCAGUGAAUCAUCGAAUCUUUGAACGCACCUUGCGCCCUUUGGACAUUCCGAAGGGCAUGCCUGUUUGAGUAUCAUGAACACCUCAACUCCUCAUGGUCUUCUAUGAUGAGCUUGGACUUUGGGGGCUUGCUGGCCCAUUUGGUCAGCUCCUCUCAAAUGAAUCAGCCUACCAGUGUUUGGUGGCACCACAGGUGUGAUAACAAUCUACGCUUGAGGUUUUCCACCAGGCAACCUUCAGUAAUUGGGGUUCACUGGGGCUCACAAAUGUCUUUCUUCAGUGAGGACAGCUCUUUGAAUGUUUGAUCUCAAAUCAGGUAGGACUACCCGCUGAACUUAAGCAUAUCAAUAAGCGGAGGA